GGGGUCGAUAGAUGCCAGAUUAUAGCAUAUAUUUCCGGUUUCGCACAUCUGUCAUCGUUUAAUACAAAACUCUCGUGUAUAUUCAUACAUGUACGUACUUAAAGGAAAAAGGAAACCACGAAUAUUUUAUAUUAGAGAUGUAGAAAUAGGAAUGUAACCAGAAAUAAGAAAUGUUUAACGAUAAAACUGUUCAUCCAAGAAUCGAGAGGUAUUACAUCGUUUCUGUUUAAGGAUUCUAUUUUCCACGAGCUAUUGCAAGUGAUAUGUGAAAGGUGAUAUUCAGAAGUGGAGUAUACAUUAUACAAUUGGUGCUCGUAGAAGUGGGCUGGAUGAUAAAUCUUCCUGCUGAAUCAAAUAAAAGCAAAGGUGUUCUCAUGCAUAAAUUCCGCACGCGUGCUAUGAUGUACAUAUACCGAUGAGAUAGUACUUACAUGAUCAUAGCCAUUGUACAGUUCUGGCCAGAGACAAGAACCUGGCUCCACGACAUUUCUCUGCUUCCUGGAUCUUAGAUAGAUAUCUUGUUGUAGUAUAUUAAAGCGUACCGCGUACCAUUGGUAGAGAAACAAAAACAUGAAAACUCAGAAAGGAAGUUUCGUUACCGAUGGCAAAACAUCCCUGCUGGAGGCAGAACUUUUGGCACUUUUUCUAUGAGAUGCACUUUAAAUAACAACAAAUGCAAGUAUCAUAGAUCCUGCAUAUUUUGAGCAAAGUGAAACAACCACACG